AAAUCUAGAUUUUAGCCAAAAAGCAUUUUUUUUACCCCAAAUUUCAUGGGAAUCAGAUAUAGUAGAAUUUGAUGUCAGCUCAAUAUUUGAGUUGCUGACGAGCUAUCGCUCAUUUCCAGAUUCCGGGGUAGUUCCGGACUUGGUAAGAAAUUUGAAGAUGACAUUCCGUUGUAUUAUUCCAUGUCCAUUAGUUCACAGUUCACAUUCAGAUUUCGGCCGGUUUGGUCAGAGAAAACCAUUUCACUGUAUCUUUAUAUCUCUCGCUUCUUGCAGCUUCUCUGCUUUGAUCCGUCAUGAAAUUUGAAGGUGACUGUCCAUUGUGACGAUAGAUGGUGGUGGUGUUAUCGUUCUUAAAAAUGGUAAAAGGUGUGAAGAGUUGUGUUAUUUUCUGUUUUCGUGGUUUUGUAUGUCUUCACCGUGCAAAAUCAAUCAAUUAUUAACAUAAAAUGUACCUGCCGUCUGAUAGUCAUCAGAUAAGAUGUACCCUAUUUCAUGAACAAAUUGCUCGACACUUCCUUUCACUCACAUCUUCAGAUUCAUCUGUCAUCUUCUCAAUACUUUGGCUGCAAAAAUUCCAACUUUUUUGCCCAAAAGUUGUGGCCUGUUAGGAAUAUGGUUUAGGGUCAUUCUUGCCUGAAAAAUAUUGACACCUUUGAUCAAUGUGUUUGUUGGUGGGGUUGAUGGAGUCGUGAAAUUGAAUUGCUGGUGCCAUUCCCUGCAGCAACCACUUCACAACGAUAAGAGACCAGCAGCAGGACAUCUACACAGAUUGAGGUUAAGGUGUGCUUCCAUGUUCUUGCUUAAAAAUUUAGAAAAACUAUGACCACUUGAACAGCUUUUAACUAUUUGUAACGUCGCUGAGAUCGCGAUUCGACCGCCAAUGUCAAUCUACAACGCAGUUUCUGUAUUGGAAUUGCUUGGUCCUGACACGGAUAUCCUUGAACCAACGCCUGCUUUUGUCCAUGACAGAAGAGAGACUUCCUCCAGCGUUCUGCUCCAUCCUUAUCCUCGCGACGUCUGCUCAUCCAGCUUCACUGCUUCUUUGCUGCUAGACUUUUCUUGCUGCAAUGGCGAGGUAGCUCACUUCAGCGUUCGCUUCCGUUCGCUGUGACACACCUGCAGUCACUCAUCACGGGAUUAUACCCAGGCAAUGCAGAGGAGACGUCGAGAAGAUGGAUUUUCUCAUCUUUAAAAAUCGUCACCGGUCUCCGUCGGAUGUUGCCCCUGCUCCUGGUGCGAACGAAACUCGGUGGAGUGAAUGGAUAAUGCGCCAACAAAAUACUUCUGGCAAUAGAAAUGGACAAUCGCUGACUUGGAAAAAGACAAUCGCGGCCGGCACCAAGACUCGUCAUCAACGUGGAUCAUCGUAUUGUUGGUAUUAUUUCGUUUGUGUUAGUUAACCCGUUGGCUGCCACGCCUUUGUUCUCCCCUAGCUCCUUAGCACG